rnacentral:rRNA from 1 species
GAUGAACGCUGGCGGCAUGCCUAAUACAUGCAAGUCGAGCGAACAGACGAGGAGCUUGCUCCUCUGACGUUAGCGGCGGACGGGUGAGUAACACGUGGAUAACCUACCUAUAAGACUGGGAUAACUUCGGGAAACCGGAGCUAAUACCGGAUAAUAUAUUGAACCGCAUGGUUCAAUAGUGAAAGACGGUUUUGCUGUCACUUAUAGAUGGAUCCGCGCCGCAUUAGCUAGUUGGUAAGGUAACGGCUUACCAAGGCAACGAUGCGUAGCCGACCGGAGAGGGUGAUCGGCCACACUGGAAGUGAGACACGGUCCAGACUCCUACGGGAGGCAGCAGUAGGGAAUCUUCCGCAAUGGGCGAAAGCCUGACGGAGCAACGCCGCGUGAGUGAUGAAGGUCUUCGGAUCGUAAAACUCUGUUAUUAGGGAAGAACAAAUGUGUAAGUAACUAUGCACGUCUUGACGGUACCUAAUCAGAAAGCCACGGCUAACUACGUG